AAAUUGAAGAGUUUGAUCAUGGCUCAGAUUGAACGCUGGCGGCAGGCCUAACACAUGCAAGUCGAACGGUAACAGGAAACAGCUUGCUGUUUCGCUGACGAGUGGCGGACGGGUGAGUAAUGUCUGGGAAACUGCCUGAUGGAGGGGGAUAACUACUGGAAACGGUAGCUAAUACCGCAUAAUGUCGCAAGACCAAAGAGGGGGACCUUCGGGCCUCUUGCCAUCGGAUGUGCCCAGAU
rnacentral:rRNA from 1 species